rnacentral:misc_RNA from 1 species
UUUACAGGUGUUGAACUUAAAGGAAUAUACUUAUUCAUACCUUUGCUAAGUACAGAGUUAAUUUUUCGGAUUAUCAUGACAGGCAAAUGUACAAGGGGCAAUAACUGAUGGAAGGUAGCCGGGAGUCUUGGACCCUCUCGGUAUGAAUAGAUUGAAAGAGUCUCAGGAUGUCAGAUGUCUCCGAUUGUGCUGUCAAGAUAUGGAACUUGACCUGCCCACCUAAAAAAGGGCACUCAGACGACACACUGCUCAACGCGUUAUCAGCCGAAGUAACACGGAGAAACACAUUUCAAAUGACCUUUGUGUUUAGGAAUGGAUAUGUGAAAGGCACACACGCUCUAGUUGCUUUUAAACACAGCACGAAGACCUGGCCUGGCAUUUGAUAUAAUCAUGUUUACUUUGAAGAGAAAAAUUUCCUGCCGUCAUUUCGCAAAAGGUUAUUUAACGGGGCGGACAAAACAUUUUUUGUUGAUGGAUGAAAACGUGUAUAUCUUUUAACCUUGAAGACUAAGGACGUAAUAUUCCCGGAGAGUAAUAGCAUUAUCCUUAACUGUACUUAUUAUAAGGAUAAUAUUGAACACAUAAUAGACACGCAUAUCAGAUGGCAAAAACUGGUAGGAGGUGAAUUUAAAGAUAUAGCUGUAUUUUCACCACCUGGAGGUUUAGAACCUUUUAUUACGAAGGAUAUGCAGCAAUAUAUACAGCAAUCGGACAUAUCUCAUAGCACCAAACACCUUGCUCUCCGCUGUGAUGAUAAUAAAGGAACCUCUUUGUGGUGAUAAGGGAGUUUACCAAUGUUGGGUGAAAUACUUUUCCUAUUCCAAUGGCCUUUCUCGAAUACAAACCAGUCGUUCUAUCGUGAAAUUCAAAGCCAAACCGAGGGAACCGGAUAUGUUUUUGUUGGUUCCAAAUGAGCUAGAAGAGAAUCAGUCCAUAAACUUACUGUGUACUGUCGCUGAUGUCGAAAGUUCACGGGAAACUCUCACGAUUUGGAAAAUAUCUCAAAACAACGACACACCUGAAUUGAAAUACACAUCUGACGCUACAUCCGCUAAAACAGAAAACUGUACAGAAAUUCUAAAUGUUAACGUUACUUAUACUGUCACGAGAGACGACAAUGGGGCUGUGCACCGAUGUUCAUCGCAAAAUAACUUCACCCAAAGACCAGGACCAAUCAUGAAUUCGUCAAAGAUUUCAGUUAUCUUGUCCCACAAAAUGACACAGGGUACCAAACGCACGCUGAUUUUGCCAACACUCACGUAUAUUCAUCGUUACAAUCUCACAAACCGGAAACUGGUGAAUAUACAUCGUUGCAAUCCAAGAAACCGGAAACUGCUGAAUACACAUCGUUGCAAUCUCAAAAACCGGAAACAGAUGAAUAUACAUCGUUGCAAUCCAAGAAACCGGAAACUGCUGAAUACACAUCGUUGCAAUCUCAAAAACCGGUAACAGAUAAAUAUACAUCCUUGCAAUCCCAGAAACCGGAAACAGGUGAAUAUACAUCGUUGCAAUCUCACAAUCCGGAUAUUGGUGAGUAUACACCGUUGCAAUUCCAGAAACUGAAAACAGGUGAACAUAUAUUGUUGCAAGCUAUGAUACCGGAGACAGGUGACCAUACAUCGUUGCAAUCCCACAAACCGGAAACAAGUGAAUAUACAUCGCUGCAAUCCCACAAACCGGAAACAAGUGAAUAUACAUCGCUGCAAUCCCACAAACAGGAAACUGCUGAAUAUACAUCAUUGCAAUCCCACAAACCGGAAACUGGUGAAUAUACAACAAUCGACAAUGUAUCGUGAUUGAGGAACUAGGUCUGAGAAAACAGAUUUUUAAUGUACUUCUACCGUGUAAUUAUAACUUAUUGUUUAUAGACCUCACUGGAUCUUAUUUACCGAUCCAUACUGAUGCAAUUUCUUUGUUUUUUUAUUUGUGUGUGUGUGUGUGUCUUUUUUUCUUUAUUGGACUUCUUUAUAUGGCUUUGCUUUCACAAAGAUAUAUCUAGCAAUUUUAAAAUACACAUCAUACUUUGUAUGCAAUAUAUUCUUAGUAGUUUCAAUUCUUGCUAAAUGAAAAUUGAACAAGAGUGGUAUCAAUUCUUAGUAUUUAAUUUGCUUUGAUACACAGUUAAUUUCGUUAUUGAUUUGAUAAAUAAAAUCAAAAGGGAGAAAUUUACCAACAAUAUU